rnacentral:rRNA from 1 species
UAUCAGCCACUGGACUGAAAACUGUCAGUCUACGGGAGGCAGCAGUGGGGAUUGAACAAUGGGGCACUGAUCAGCAUGCGCGUGCGGGAGAGCUCGGGUGUAAACGCUUUUAGUCGGAAGAAAGCUGGGCGAAUACGUGGGUUUUGACGUACUGCGAUAGCACGGCUAACUACGUGCCAGCAGCCGCGGUAAUACGUAGGGUGCGAGCGUAAUCGGAAUUACUGGGCGUAAAGCGUGCGCAGGCGGUUCGUUAAGUCUGAUGUGAAAGCCCCGGGCUCAACCUGGGAAUGGCAUUGGAAACUGGCGGGCUUGAGUGUGGCAGAGGGGGGUGGAAUUCCGCGUGUAGCAGUGAAAUGCGUAGAGAUGCGGAGGAACACCGAUGGCGAAGGCAGCCCCCUGGGCUAACACUGACGCUCAGGCACGAGAGCGUGGGGAACAAACAGGAUUAGAUACCCUGGUAGUCCACGCCCUAAACGAUGAUCACUGGGUGUUCGGGGAGCGAUCUCUGAGUACCGAAGCUAACGCGUGAAGUGAUCCGCCUGGGGAGUACGGUCGCAAGAUUAAAACUCAAAGGAAUUGACGGGGACCCGCACAAGCGGUGGAUGAUGUGGAUUAAUUCGAUGCAACGCGAACAACCUUACCUACCC